AGGGAGAGACUUCCGGUUCCGGCAAUGGGCUACAAAUCUCUGCACACGGGCGGUGGUCUCCCUCUCUCGGAGCUGGUUGAGGGGCCUCUCCUUUUGUGGAACGUGAGUCAUCCUUUUCUGGAGUUUCAGAAUGGAGACUGAAGGAGACCCAGAGACACAAAGAAAUAGAGAAGUCCACAAUGCUCAGAUAAUGUCACCACCAGAAGAGAUGAUGGCUAAGGAGCUGGAAGAUGUCCUAAUAGCAGCUCCCCAGGCCCAGGUUCCACAAGAGCCUUCUGAGCAUCCACCAAAGAGCCUUGAUGAAGGUUGUGUCGAAGAUGCUGAUUCCAUGCCAGGAAGGAAUCCCCUCAACCCUGCAGUCUUCAGGCAGAUGUUCAGAAAGUUCCGCUAUGAGGAUGCACACGGGCCCAGGGAUGUCCUUAGACAUCUCCUGGUGUUUGCUAGGCAGUGGCUGAGACCUGAUAUUCACACAAAGGAGCAGAUUGUGGAAAUGCUGGUGCAGGAGCAAUUCCAGGCUGUCUUGCCUGAAGAGCUCAGAGCUCAGGUGCAGAAAUGUCAGCCCGGGGCCAGAUUCACUGGCUAAGUCUCAAGGCUCACUUCUUGUUGAACCUACAAAUGAGACGUUUGGUUAAAGGUUCUCUUUGUUGCAAAUUCCUACUACAGUCACGGGAAGUUUUGAACGUUGGUUUUCUUUGAGUUUGCCUUUGACUAAUUGUAAUAAUCAGUCAGAACCCGUAUCUGGACCUCUUUUUGCCUGAGGCAGUUCUGUUUCCUGGGACUCAACUCCAGAAGGAGUUUCUCUGCCCUCUUGUUAGGACAAUCAGCCUGCUGCUUGUUUUUGUUCUGCUGAAUGUCUCCUCUUUUGCACUUUGUGACAUCCUUUAAUAUAUUGUUUAUAGGUAUCCAAAGAGGUAAUUGCUUUAACUUUCAGAAUUCUUGAUUCUUGCUGUUGUGGCAUGAGUGGGAGCUUCUGUGACCCCACCAGUAACUCAUUUGGGAUGUCCUCGAAAUAUUAAAGUUUGGUUCUUAAUAGAA